rnacentral:rRNA from 1 species
UACAGAGGGGGCGAGCGUUGUUCGGAAUUACUGGGCGUAAAGGGCGCGUGGGUGGCCUGUUAAGUCGAACGUGAAAUCCCCGGGCUCAACCCGGGAACUGCGUCCGAGACUGGCAGGCUCGAAUCCGGGAGAGGGAUGUGGAAUUCCAGGUGUAGCGGUGAAAUGCGCAGAUAUCAGGAGGAACACCGAUGGCGAAGGCAGGUCUCUGGGCAUUAACUGACGCUGAGGAGCGAAAGCAUGGGGAGCGAACAGG